CGAAAGAGAACCAUCUCUGAAAUCCAAACACAUACUCCUCCAGAAUGUUCCCUUCUACCUCUGCCACGGCCUCCCGUCUCCUCGUCCCCGCCGCCUCUCGCCGCGCCAUGGCCGCUGCCGCCUCCGCCAACCCGCCGCCCCCGCAGCAAUCGCCCCCCAAGGCGGUGCGGGUCGUGGUGAAGGGCCGCGUGCAGGGCGUCUUCUUCCGCGACUGGACGGUGGAGACGGCCCGCGCGCUCGGGCUCGCCGGCUGGGUCCGCAACCGCCACGACGGCACCGUGGAGGCCCUCCUGUCCGGCGAACCCGCCAGGGUCGACGAGAUGGUCUCCCGGCGCCUUCCCGUAGGGCCUCCCGCCGCCGCCGUCACCGCGGUGCUGCCUUCCCCAGCCGAUCCGCUCGACCCUUCCGAGGGCUUCCACCGCAAGCCGACCGCCUGACGACGGCUGGUUCUUGUCAUUGACAUGCGGUUCACAACCUAUUUUGAAAUUCCAACUUGUGUAGGUUUUUCUCGUCCUAUUUUUUAAUCUAGAGGCAUGGAAAAAAGUGAGGAUGCAAAGGCGACUGGAGACCAAGACUUCAUAUAUACGUUAUUGAUAAUAAGGUGGAGGUGGAUCUGCUAAAUCAUCGGAUCAUCCUCUUCACUGAUGCUUGAGGACUGCCACAAAGGAUAUGCCACUACUUAAGAAUGUGCCAUCACAGACGAUUUAGAAAAUCCAUCAUAUACAUCUUCCCGGUGACAUGGUUUAUGUCAUCACAACCUGGACAUUUUGUAAUAAGAUAAGAGAUGACUGAAAGGUUCAUAAUGUGAAAUGGUUUGUGAUUUGGUCUUUUUA